rnacentral:lncRNA from 1 species
CUUCUUUCAGUUUUUCUUUUGGCCAAGAGAAGACCUGCCUCUCAGUGCAAGAAAAACUCUGUCAACAGUGGAAAGUCCCAGGUCUACUUGAUCUUGUCCAUUUGGCACUGCUGGAGGAAUAACAAGUUUCUUCCCAUCAUGCACCAUUCUGGGAUACAUCAUGACAGAGAAAUCUCAAAGCCCAGGUCAAUUAUAACAGAAGAUGUGUAGCACCUCUGCCCCCAUCGUGUCUUCUGGGGAUCUACCUGGCAAAAUGAUAUAAAACUAUUUCUGAAGACAUCCCAUGAUCUGGCGCUACUCGGAACUAAGUCACCAGCAAAAUGAAGAAGCUUGCUUUGGAGUUUCCCUUGGGACUGGUUGAUGGGGCAACUCUGAGAGCAGCACCCCAGGAUCACAUGGGACGUACUUUUACCUCUUCACCCCCAAAACUGUUUUGCCUGUUCUGCACUCAAGGUGAAAGCAUCUGUAACUCAGGGUACUUUAUGCUCUGA